rnacentral:lncRNA from 1 species
CCCACAUCCAUAUACUUCUACUUACAGUCCUGCGCACAGGGAAAAGGAGAGAUGAGCAACAAGUUACUCAGUAAAGUGACUCUAGACCAGCCUGUCCGCAUGACACUCUAUACUACUCUAUGCGGGAACUAGGGCUGACUAGCCAAUACAAUCAGUUAAUGCAUCUUAACAUUUCAUAUCAUCAUCAUUUAUUUCCAAACAUUCAAUUCCAUACAUUUCUAACAACCUAACGAUCAGUC